AGGUUCUCUGGGUCGUGUCCCCCCCCCCACUGCUGGUGUCCAUCCCCAAGGUCUUUCCUCACCUGGCUGUUGGAGAUGUGGAGUUGAAGGUGGGUAUUGACAUACAUGGUGGCCCCAACCCUCUGGAAGGAGGAUUUGGGGCACUGGGUGAAGAUGUAGUUGAGCCAGGGCUGGGUGGAAACCAACACUUGCUGGAGCAUCUUCCAGCUCUCUGGGUAAAAUAUGAUUGGAAGAGCAGGAAAUUAUUGAGGGAGAGACUCCAGGGUUUUCCUGGGGCUGUGCUCUGGGCUUUGUGACCACCCUCACCCUCCCCUUCACUCCUGCAGUACGAGAAGAAGCUGCUCCAGUACAGAUACGAGACACCGAGCCCCAAGCUCUGCGAGCAGAUAAGAUCUGUUAGGAUCUCAAAGGUGAUGCUGAAGUGGGCUUGCUGGAUCCUGAUGGACAGGGAGGUGGAUUCCUGAGCCCAGCCCAUCCUUCCUUUCUUCACUGGUUCAGACAGAACAAUUUAGGGCUGCCUGGGAAGAGCAGUUGGAGGAGGGAUGGGGGGACACCAGGACCCCUGUCCCCAAGGGGCCCACUGAGUGGUUUGGCCUGGCUGCAGACCCUGGCUGUAGAGAUGCUGGGGACAUGACCUGUUGAAGGCCAGCACCCUCAGUGCUGAGAGGGGGGGAAAAGCAUCUGUUCAGGGAUGCCUGUGGGUGAGCCAGUUCCCCUCUCCCACUUCUCCCUCUCCAUCCUUUCCAAACUCCCUGGCACGGCAGGUGGGGACAAGAGGUGACCUGGUGCCACCGUAACAUUGUGUCUGUCAGCCCCACAAUCUGAUCCCCGCUCCCAAGGCAGCAAUGGAGUUUGGAUGUUUUAUUGGAUGGUUUCUGCAGGGUCCUGCACUGUUCAUUACAAAAAAUGCCCCACAGGGUUAUGCUGUAGAAAUGAAAAAUAAAAAUUGUAUAUUUUUUAAAUA